GGGGGAUUGGCGCAGUUGGUAGCGCGUCUGCAUGGCAUGCAGAAGGUCACCGGUUCGAAUCCGGUAUCCUCCAC
rnacentral:tRNA from 1 species